GACGUAGGGCGCGAGCGUUGUCCGGAUUUAUUGGGCGUAAAGAGCUCGUAGGCGGCUUGUCGCGUCGACUGUGAAAUCCCGCGGCUCAACUGCGGGUCUGCAGUCGAUACGGGCAGGCUAGAGUUCGGUAGGGGAGACUGGAAUUCCUGGUGUAGCGGUGAAAUGUGCAGAUAUCAGGAAGAACACCCGUGGCGAAAGCGGCUCUCUGGAACGGUACUGACGCUGAGACGCGAAAGCGUGGGGAGCGAACAGG
rnacentral:rRNA from 1 species